rnacentral:rRNA from 1 species
GACAGAGGAGGCAAGCGUUGUUCGGAAUCACUGGGCUUAAAGCGCGUGUAGGCGGCUUGGUAAGUGUCUUGUGAAAUCCCCCGGCUCAACCGGGGAACUGCUGGGCAUACUGCCAGGCUUGAGGCAGGUAGGGGUCGCUGGAACUCCAGGUGGAGCGGUGAAAUGCGUAGAUAUCUGGAGGAACGCCCGUGGCGAAAGCGGGUGACUGGGCCUGUCCUGACGCUGAGACGCGAAAGCGUGGGGAGCAAACGGG